CCAACCCUAACCCCCAAUCCUAACCCCAACCCUAACCCCCAAUCCUAACCCCAAACCCUAACCCCAAACAAAAUGGUGGUGUUCCGGUGGUGUUCCGGUAGUCAGUGUUUUACUACAUGCCAGCUUUAUGUCCCGGUCAAACGAGAACAAGAGGACUGGGUAAUUUGACUAAACAAGUUCAGAGUUGGUGUCAAGUUCAGAGUUCAGUUGUAACCCUCAUCAUGCAUCAACUCUCAUUUACUCUUACUCUCGUUUUAUCGAUGCUUUAUACUAACACCCUGUCGUUCAAGUUUUUUUUCAAAAGGACAGUGUUUCAUCGGAGCAUGUUUGCUUGUGAUGUCAUUAGUUCGCGUAACGAUAGCAACCCGUUGAGAAUAGAUUUGUUCAGUAUAUUUAUUAACUUCUUCACCCAUGAAGGCGUUUUGAUAUUGUGUUUAUACAAAAAAUAUUUGUUACAUUGUUAAUAUAUUCACAGUUUAUAGAAUUACAGUAACGCG